UACGUAGGGUGCGAGCGUUAAUCGGAAUUACUGGGCGUAAAGCGUGCGCAGGCGGCGCGUUAAGACAGGUGUGAAAGCCCCGAGCUUAACUUGGGAAUUGCGCUUGUGACUGGCGUGCUGGAGUGUGGCAGAGGGAGGUGGAAUUCCACGUGUAGCAGUGAAAUGCGUAGAGAUGUGGAGGAACACCGAUGGCGAAGGCAGCCUCCUGGGCCAGCACUGACGCUCAUGCACGAAAGCGUGGGGGAGCAAACAAGG
rnacentral:rRNA from 1 species